rnacentral:lncRNA from 1 species
GUCUGAAUAUUGAAGAAUGGCCUGACCACUCUGGUGAAGGUGACAUGGAGCAAAAAACAUCAAAGCUCAGGGGUGAAGAGGAAUCAUGAAGGCCAUCUAAUGCAGGGGCCACAAACCCACACGCAGCAGGAACCACUCAGGCUUAACAGAAAUACUUGUGGAUCCAAAUCCAUGGUAGGAGGUCUGAUUAAGAGGAUUUGCAGAGAGGCUUUUGAGAAGUUGGAUGCUCACUGCUGGUUAGAAACUACUGCUCUGGAAUGAGCCACACUCUGUGCAGUAUUUGAUAUUAAAAUAUU